UCUAUUUCCACUCAAAAGACUACUAUUAUUUUUCAGGUGAAGUUCUUUUGGAUGGGGAAAACAUAAAAAAAUUGAAAGUAGAAUGGUUAAGAAGCCAAAUUCGUCUGGUGACACAAGAACCAGCCUUAUUGAGUUUGAGCAUUUAGGAAAAUAUUGCUUAUGGAAGAUCUGCUACCUUUGAUCAGAUAGAAGAGGCAGCAAAAACAGCCCAUGCCCAUGGGUUCAUCAGUUCACUUGAAAAGGGGGACGAAACCCAGGUUGGUCGAGCUGGUCUAACACUCACUGAUGAACAUAAAAUCAAAAUUUCUAUUGCUCGUGCUGUGCUUUCGAAUCCAUCCAUUAUUUUGCUUGAUGAGGUCACCGGAGGACUUGAUUUUGAAGCUGAGAAGGCUGUACAAGAAGCAUUAGAUGUUCUGAUGUUGGGAAGGUCAACCAUUAUAAUUGCUAGACGUCUUUGCCUCAUUAAAAAUGCUGAUUAUAUAGCUGUAAUGGAGGAGGGCCAUCUUGUUGAAAUGGG